rnacentral:rRNA from 1 species
UUAUCCUACGGGACGCAGCAGUGAGGAAUAUUGGUCAAUGGCCGAGAGGCUGAACCAGCCAAGUCGCGUGAGGGAUGACGGCCCUACGGGUUGUAAACCUCUUUUGUCGGGGAGCAAGACCCGCCUCGUGCAGGCGGAGCGAGAGUACCCGAAGAAAAAGCAUCGGCUAACUCCGUGCCAGCAGCCGCGGUAAUACGGAGGAUGCGAGCGUUAUCCGGAUUUAUUGGAUUUAAAGGGUGCGCAGGCGGCGAGUUAAGUCAGCGGUAAAAUUUCGGGGCUCAAC